CUAUCACAGAAGUGACACAGCACAACCUUCUGAGGCAGUUCCAAACACAGCAUUGUUCUUUUAUUUUGGGGAAAAUGCAUCAGACACAGACACUUCAUGGAAAUUUCUGAAUGAGAAAAAACAUUGCAGCACAGCAAGAUUGGUUAGCCAUAAAGCCACGUUGGAGAUGCUCUGGACAGGUGGCUGGCUCUUCCAGACCUUUGGAAUAGAAGGGCUUGACUGGAGGAAGACUGGCAGCGGUUCGGCUUUACCACCCUUUGCUUCCUGAGGCUGGGCAGAUAAGGAGCUAUCAGCGUGGGCACGGGGCUGCAGCAGCAGAUCCGAUGGAAGCAGAGAUUGCAGAAGGAAAAAGGCAGAAUUGAGAGCUAACCUUAUUAAAGACAGGCUUCACUUACUGGAAAUCAUGAAAAGCUUGACUCACCUUGAACGUUAUUUAAUGAUCCUUCUAUUUUUACAGGUAAGCUAACAUUCAGGGAUUUGACCAAAUGUCCACAAAUACUAAUUGGCAAAACUGGAACAAGGGCCCAGGUCUCCAGCCCAACAGUCAGGCAUUUGUUCCACCACAAUUUGUCUUUCUUUUGUUUCAAGAUGUUGGAAGGGAAUA